rnacentral:rRNA from 1 species
GAUGAACGCUAGCUACAGGCUUAACACAUGCAAGUCGAGGGGCAGCAUUAGGUAGCAAUACUGAGAUGGCGACCGGCGCACGGGUGCGUAACGCGUAUCCAACCUUCCCGUUACUCAUGGAUAGCCUUCCGAAAGGGAGAUUAAUACAUGAUGGUGUUGAAAUUCCGCAUGUUAUUUCAACUAAAGAUUUAUCGGUAACGGAUGGGGAUGCGUGACAUUAGAUAGAUGACGGGGUAACGGCCCACCAUGUCCACGAUGUCUAGGGGUUCUGAGAGGAAGGUCCCCCACACUGGAACUGAGACACGGUCCAGACUCCUACGGGAGGCAGCAGUGAGGAAUAUUGGUCAAUGGCCGGAAGGCUGAACCAGCCAAGUAGCGUGAAGGAUGAAGGUUCUAUGGAUUGUAAACUUCUUUUAUACGGGAAUAAAACCUCCCACGUGUGGGAGCUUGUAUGUACCGUAUGAAUAAGCAUCGGCUAACUCCGUGCCAGCCGCCGCAGUAAUAC